GAAGUCCCCGACCAUUGAAGGACCAGCAAUCCACAGGGUCCCCGAGUCAUGCGUUGCAUACCGCGAGGUAUGGGGCGAAGCGUUGACAGGGGUGUUGACAGGCCAGCCAUUGAGCCACGAAAUGUAUAUUAAAUUCCCGGGUGCCGACGUUGUACUGUUUACGGAAGGCAACAUCAUAGGGUGCGUUACUGCGAGUGCCAUAUGGACCCGGCGGGGUCUGAGACCC
rfam:Escherichia vulneris NBRC 102420 DNA, contig: EV10242050.